rnacentral:misc_RNA from 1 species
GAACGCACAUUGCGCCUCAUGGUACUCCGUGAGGCAUACCUGUUCGAGCGUCGUUUGACCCUAAGGCCUUGCCUUGCGAUGGCGGAUCUCCGAUGGAGACUGCCGAAAUACAAUGGCACGAGUGUUUGUCUCACGCAGUGAAAUGCCGCAGGACUUGUCACGGAUGCAUAACUCUCCCAUGGUCGACCUCGGAUCAGGUAAGAUUACCCGCUGAACUUAAG